UACGUAGGGGGGCAAGCGCUGUCCGGAAUUAUUGGGCGUAAAGAGCGUGUAGGCGGUCCGGUAAGUCAGCUGUGAAAGUCAAGGGCUCAACCCUUGAAAGCCGGUUGAUACUGUCGGGCUAGAGUCCGGAAGAGGCGAGUGGAAUUCCCGGUGUAGCGGUGAAAUGCGCAGAUAUCGGGAGGAACACCAAUGGCGAAGGCAGCUCGCUGGGACGGUACUGACGCUGAGACGCGAAAGCGUGGGGAGCAAACAGGG
rnacentral:rRNA from 1 species